AUUAAUACAAGAUGGCAUCAUGAGUCCACAUGUUCACAUGAUUAAAGGUAUUCCGGUAGACGAUGGGGAUGCGUUCCAUUAGAUAGUAGGCGGGGUAACGGCCCACCUAGUCUUCGAUGGAUAGGGGUUCUGAGAGGAAGGUCCCCCACAUUGGAACUGAGACACGGUCCAAACUCCUACGGGAGGCAGCAGUGAGGAAUAUUGGACAAUGGGCGAGAGCCUGAACCAGCCAAGUAGCGUGAAGGAUGACUGCCCUAUGGGUUGUAAACUUCUUUUAUAAAGGAAUAAAGUCGGGUAUGCAUACCCGUUUGCAUGUACUCUAUGAAUAAGGAUCGGCUAACUCCGUGCCAGCAGCCGCGGUAAUACGGAGGAUCCGAGCGUUAUCCGGAUUUAUUGGGUUUAAAGGGAGCGUAGAUGGAUGUUUAAGUCAGUUGUGAAAGUUUGCGGCUCAACCGUAAAAUUGCAGUUGAUACUGGAUAUCUUGAGUGCAGUUGAAGCAGGCGGAAUUCGUGGUGUAGCGGUGAAAUGCUUAGAUAUCACGAAGAACUCCGAUUGCGAAGGCAGCCUGCUAAGCUGCAACUGACAUUGAGGCUCGAAAGUGUGGGUAUCAAACAGGAUUAGAUACCCUGGUAGUCCACACGGUAAACGAUGAAUACUCGCUGUUUGCGAUAUACUGCAAGCGGCCAAGCGAAAGCGUUAAGUAUUCCACCUGGGGAGUACGCCGGCAACGGUGAAACUCAAAGGAAUUGACGGGGGCCCGCACAAGCGGAGGAACAUGUGGUUUAAUUCGAUGAUACGCGAGGAACCUUACCCGGGCUUAAAUUGCAGAUGAAUUACGGUGAAAGCCGUAAGCCGCAAGGCAUCUGUGAAGGUGCUGCAUGGUUGUCGUCAGCUCGUGCCGUGAGGUGUCGGCUUAAGUGCCAUAACGAGCGCAACCCUUGUUGUCAGUUACUAACAGGUUCCGCUGAGGACUCUGACAAGACUGCCAUCGUAAGAUGUGAGGAAGGUGGGGAUGACGUCAAAUCAGCACGGCCCUUACGUCCGGGGCUACACACGUGUUACAAUGGGGGGUACAGAGGGCCGCUACCACGCGAGUGGAUGCCAAUCCCAAAAACCUCUCUCAGUUCGGACUGGAGUCUGCAACCCGACUCCACGAAGCUGGAUUCGCUAGUAAUCGCGCAUCAGCCACGGCGCGGUGAAUACGUUCCCGGGCCUUGUACACACCGCCCGUCAAGCCAUGGGAGCCGGGGGUACCUGAAGUGCGUAACCGCGAGGAGCGCCCUAGGGUAAAACUGGUGACUGGGGCUAAGUCGUAACAAGGUAA
rnacentral:rRNA from 1 species